rnacentral:sRNA from 1 species
AGUAUAUAUAAAAUUUUGCAAAUUAUCUCUAUCUAUAAAAUAUUUUUAUUUUAUAGUUUACAAUUGUUAUUAAGUAACGUCCUUCCAAACCCGUUCUGCCAAACCCGUCCUGUAAAAAAAAACCGCGGUACCCCGCUAGUUGAAAUUUAUAAU